UUUCUACUGACGUCAUAGCCCUUCUAUUAAGUAUUAUGUAUGUCUAAAUUGAAGAAGCCGUGUUGUAACAUGACAUUUUUUUAAUAGUAGUACGAAAUAUCAAAGUAUAAGCUAAGGCCUAAGAGAGAGAGAAAGAGAGUCCUAUGCCUAGUAAAUAUAAGACAAUUUACAAAUAUAUUAGUGUUGUAAAUUUGUAAAAGUAACCCGAUACGAAAUGGUCGGACACGGACACCUUCACUUCCCAAACAAGAGUAUUGAUUGGGACUCGGUAGAAUGGGAUAAGUUAUCACAAGAAGAGAAAGUUAGGUAAUAA
rnacentral:lncRNA from 1 species